rnacentral:lncRNA from 1 species
UUCGGCCUCUGUCUUUGAGGGUGGUGUGUGAGACUCCUCCUUAGCUGGCUUCGUGUUCUGCCCGCUGGACUGAAUUAACUUUGUUACCCUUUGGGUCCAAGAGCCUUACCUCUGUGCAGCGGUGUUGUAAAAGUGAGAGACUGGCGACAAAGUCCCUACAGGGGAGGUGAAUGGACGCCUAGGGCGCUCGGGGACCCGGGUUGUGACCUCUGGCUGCAGGGCCUAAGGUUUACCCUCUCUGGUGGCACAGGGCGUGGGCCGGCCGGUUGGUCUGUAGGGCCUUGCUGCCCCCUGCAGGGUGUUGUCAGAACUAUGCUUGAGAGAGGAACCCAAGUGGCAGAACGUUAGUCGUGCAACUUCACAUUCUCCCUCUUAAAAGACAAAUUGAACUGGCGAGGUUAGUCUGUCUCAUGUAUCCUCAACUGGUCUGGGAAUCCUGACCUUUCUGCCUCAAUCAAGUUCUGGGAUUACAGUCAGGCAGCACCUUCAUGAUGGAGGAACUAGAGCAAGGCCUGUUGAUGCAGCCAUGGGCAUGGUUACAACUUGCUGAGAACUCACUCUUGGCCAAGGCUUCUAUCACCAAGCAUGGUUAUGCCUUGCUGAUUUCGGAUCUUCAACAGGUGUGGCAUGAACAGGUGGACACUUUGGAGGUCAGCCAGCGAGCCAAG